rnacentral:ncRNA from 1 species
UUUAACGAGAGUUUGAUCCUGGCUCAGGACGAACGCUGGCGGCGUGCCUAAUACAUGCAAGUCGAACGAACGGAUAAAGAGCUUGCUCUUUGAA